rnacentral:rRNA from 1 species
AGAGUUUGAUCAUGGCUCAGAACGAACGCUGGCGGCGUGGAUAAGACAUGCAAGUCGAACGAGACUUUUCGUUGUAGCAAUACGAUGGAAAGUUUAGUGGCGAACGGGUGCUUAACACGUGGGCAACCUGCCAUGAAGUGGGGGAUAGCUCGCCGAAAGGCGAAUUAAUACCGCAUGUGAUUAGAGAGGACAUCCUUUCGAAAUUAAAGUCGGGGCAACCUGACGCUUCUUGUGGGGCCCGCGGCCUAUCAGCUAGUUGGUGAGGUAACGGCUCACCAAGGCUUUGACGGGUAGCUGGUCUGAGAGGACGACCAGCCACACUGGGACUGAGACACGGCCCAGACACCUACGGGUGGCAGCAGUCGAGAAUUUUUGACAAUGGGGGAAACCCUGAUCGAGCGACGCCGCGUGGAGGAUGAAGGUCUUCGGAUUGUAAACUCCUGUCAUUUGGGAACAAGGUGCACACGUUAACUGCGUGUGCAUUGAUAGUACCAGAAGAGGAAGGGACGGCUAACUCUGUGCCAGCAGCCGCGGUAAUACAGAGGUCUCAAGCGUUGUUCGGAUUCAUUGGGCGUAAAGGGUGCGUAGGCGGCGCGGUAAGUCGGGUGUGAAAUCUCGGAGCUUAACUCCGAAACUGCAUUCGAUACUGCCGUGCUUGAGGACUGGAGAGGAGACUGGAAUUUACGGUGUAGCGGUGAAAUGCGUAGAUAUCGUAAGGAAGACCAGUGGCGAAGGCGGGUCUCUGGACAGUUCCUGACGCUGAGGCACGAAGGCCAGGGGAGCAAACGGGAUUAGAUACCCUAGUAGUCC